CCAGCAUGUAAACCUUUCUGGAGAGCAAUGAUCUGCUGCUGCUGCUGUUCAAUGAGAGUGGUUAGUGCUUUGACAUGCUUCAAGGCCCAAAUCCAGAUGGGGAGGAUGGAGUGUCUGGGACCAGCAAAGAUGCUCCAUGUUGUCCUGGCCCUGUCUUGCUGAAGCAGCUGAACCUUACUAUAUUGCUAGAAGAGUCCUCUUGUGAGUUGAGCCAUGCCUGCUUGUUACUUACAUUAGAGAAUUAAGACUUCAGAGGCACAUUUGGUGGCAACAUGAGAGAGGGCCUUCUUGGUGGCUGCUCCCAGGUUGUGGAAUGCCUUGCCAAAGGAGGCUAGGAUCACUCCCUCUCUGCUGAUCUUCCACUGG